rnacentral:rRNA from 1 species
GACGAACGCUGGCGGCGUGCCUAAUACAUGCAAGUCGAGCGAAGUUUUUCUGGUGCUUGCACCGGAAAAACUUAGCGGCGAACGGGUGAGUAACACGUAAAGAACCUGCCUCAUAGACUGGGACAACUAUUGGAAACGAUAGCUAAUACCGGAUAAUAGCAUUAACUGCAUGGUUGAUGUUUAAAAGUUGGUUUUGCUAACACUAUGAGAUGGCUUUGCGGUGCAUUAGCUAGUUGGUGGGGUAAAGGCCUACCAAGGCGACGAUGCAUAGCCGACCUGAGAGGGUGAUCGGCCACACUGGGACUGAGACACGGCCCAGACUCCUACGGGAGGCAGCAGUAGGGAAUGUUCCGCAAUGGGCGGGAGCAUGAGGGAGCAACGCCGCGUGAGUGAAGAAGCAUUUCGGUUCGUAAAGCUCUGUUGUUAGGGAAGAAUGAUUGUGUAGUAACUAUACACAGUAGAGACGGUACCUAACCAGAAAGCCACGGCUAACUACGUG